rnacentral:lncRNA from 1 species
GCUGAGUCCCUUUUUGUUUUGUACAAAGAAAGAAAGAAAGAAAGAAAGAAAGAAAGAAAGAAAGAAAGAAAGAAAGAAAGAAAGAAAGAAAGAUGAGUUUCCCAUUGCUUUUUUUCAUCCUCCUGAGCUGCUCUCCUGGUGAGGAUUUAUCCUUUGUAUAAAACCAAAAUGUUGAGUAGAACACAAAGAGGUUCCCGAUUAUGACACAACUUCUACAUUCUUUUGUAGGUACGUAUUCCACUCUACAGAUAAUUGAGUCUGGUCCAGGACUGGUGAAGCCCGGAGACUCCUUCAAGCUGACCUGUGCAGUUUCUGGGGUUCAAGUUGGUGAUUAUUAUUGGAGUUGGAUCCGGCAGCCUCCAGGGAAGGGUCUGAAAUGGAUGGGGGAGAUUGAGAACACAGAAGAUGGUGCUGGCACCACAUACAGCCCAACAUUUGGAAGUCGAAUCAGCAUCACCAGGGACACCUCCAAAAAUGAAGUAUAUCUUCAGUUGAGGUCCCUGGAAACUGCAGACACAGCAGUAUACUACUGUGCGCUGCACAGUGAGCCAGAGCAAUCAAGCAUCUGUACAAAAACCACAAUCAGUCUCAACCACCUGCUCAGGAACUGCUGGCUAUCUGUCUCCAAUAGAUGGAGCUAACUGUCAAGUUGAUUAAAGCAUUUGUCUUUGUGUAAAUACCAGCAAAAUGCCUUCAUGAUGGCAUGCAACGAAGUCAAAUUCCAUUGAAGUCAUUGAAGACACACAUCCAAUAUAGAUGAAGAACUAUGAAGUCAUGUUCCAUCAGAUGGUUUGAUAGGUCCACUCACCUGAUUCGGUGGGCAGCGUUGCGGCUGGGUCCUGAGCCCCGGGCCCUCCCAGUGAUCUGGCCCAGGGAUGGAGACUGAUGCCUUCCCCACCACUGCUUGUCCACACCAUCAGUGCUGGGCAGGGCCCCGCUCAAGGGGUGCCCCCUGGUGACCAAUCAGCACUGAUGGGGGGCAGGGCCACAGGAAAUUUAAACCAUGGUGUGGCGGGGAGAUUGUCCUCUCACACCCUUCACCAGAUCUCCCAUCCCUUGCCUCUUCUUCUGCUUUGCUGUGCAACGACCUGUCUAUGGGCUAAUGUUGGUCAUCAUAUUUUUGGGAUUUUUUUCUACUUGGCAGAUUGGCUCCAGCAAUUUGGUUUUUGCCUACCUUGAAUCUAUGGUCACAAGUUUGUGAGGUUAGGCAUUGGGUAAGCCUUUGUUUGGAUGGAGGGGAGGUUGUAGCCUCCGCCUGCCCUUCCUCUUUAAGGGUAUCCUGUUAAAGGAACCCGGGGGCGUGGAUUCUGUCCAAUGCAGCCCUCCAGAUGUUUCUGGAUUGCAGUUCCAAUCAGCACCAGCCAGCAUGGCUAGGAAAUGAUGGGGAUUGAAAUCCACCAACAUCUGCCUGGGAUAAAGAGUGUGUCAUGGCUACAGGAACUACCACAAUGACCAGGCAUCCCCAAACUCAGGACUACAACUCCCAUCAUCCCUAGCUAACAGGACCAGUAGUCAGGGAUGAUGGGGAUUGUAGUCCCAAAACAUCUGGAGAGCUGAGUUUGGGGAUGCCUGACAAUGACACCAUUCAAGCCUAAAACUCCAGUAUUCAUCCAGUAGACCAAGGAGAAUUGCAUUCAUUGAUUUAUCAAACCCACCAAUGCUGGGUUGUUGUUUUGUAACAAUGAAAUUUAUAAGAAAUACUUAAAAUUAGAAAGUGACCAGAUGAAAAAUACCAGAAGAGAUCCCAUUGCAUCAGAAGAGAUCCCAUUGCCUUCCCUAGGUUGAUGCUGGGGAGAAAAUAUAGAGCAAUGAGGAACAAUGCUGGGUACCAGAGAGUAACAACAUGUACAGUCCCACAUUCAUAGAUUGCAUAUUGAGAUCACAUACUUAAAUAAAUUCACAUUGUAUUAAUCUAAUUCUUUUGUGAGAAGAAACAUGCCAUAUCCUCUCCAAAUUUCUGAAGAGUGCUCCAUCAAUAUUUGGAGUGGAGGCUUACAUGGUAUCCCUCAUGAUUUCAAUUUCACAGUCAAUGUCUUUUUGUAAAGGAAUACAUCACUGUGGAUCCUGGGAGUAGCAUUGUAACACGCACCCUAGUAAAAUCAUCCAUGCUCACAAAGAAAAGACAAGGAAGCGGUAGCAAUUCACAUGGGGUUGGGCUAGAUGACCCUUGGGGUCCCUUCCAACUCUACAGUCCUAUGAUUCUAUGACAUUAUAAUAUGUUGAUUGUACAUCUGCAAAGCAACUGCUUGUCUGGAAUCAAAGUGGGCCAAGCAAAUGUUUUUCGCUGUCCCGCUUCUUAAAUACACACAUGAACAUUUUUAUUUAGCUACAUGAUUUUCCACAUCUGGAGGGUCAAGUAUUGUACUAAGAGAGAGAGAGAGAGAGAGAGAGAGAGAGAGAGAAUGAACAUUGCUGUCCAACUCUUGGAUGUAAUUUGAAUAAGCAUAUUUACAUCCCAUAUAGGUACUUAUCCCUAACACAUAUCUUAGAGAAUCAGUAGGGAGUUGAAGGAGCAAUAGUUCAGCUCAUACAGAAAAAUCAGUGAGGGUCAGGAAGGCAGCAGGACAGUAAGGACAACUCAGCUCACCUGCUGAUGGCUCUGAAGUUCUCCAGGGGCAAAUUAAUGUGGUUCUCUCUCAAUCCAAAACCUUUUCAAUCAAGGCGAUUCAUAAAAAACACCAAGGUGCAGAUGCCAAAUUGUCUAUUAAAAACAAAACAAAACAACAGUGGUCUUCAAAAUCAGGAGGAAUUCUAGUAUAUUCAGAUGAUCAGCAAUCCAAAUACACUUUCUGUUCAUCUACUUAUCCAUCUUGACAUGAGUUCCUCUUGACUCUGCAGUAUUCUCUUCGCUCUCUGCAUCCAAAUUUAUUCUCAGACAGGAAGCCCAUGUGAUUCCUGUUUCCGCCCAUACUAUUAAAGGAGGAAGCUGGUAAAGACCCAUGAGGAUGAUAGGGCAGAUGGGAUGAGACCAAUUAAAUAUAUAAUUACCAGGAUAACUAUUUAGUAGACGGAGAAACAGGGAGGCACUUUCACCCUAUGAGUUCUUGAAAAUCAGCUCAGUUGGGCCUUGCCAAACAAAAGGAGGCCGAAUGACCAGGGAGAGCUGGAAUUUAUCCUGGCCCUGGGUGUGGAGCCAAGUGCCACCAUUGGGCAGUUGUUCCCACACCCAGAUACACACCCUCACAGCCCCACCAUGAUUGGAGAUGGCAGGCAUAUGAUCCAGCCUGCCAUUUGCUGGUUUACAGGUGAGACCCCAGGGCCCGCCCGCAAUGCUGCCCACUGAAGAAGGCUUGAUAAAUAGAAAUAUGGAGGGGGGGGGAUUCAAUUUGUUUUAGGUGGAAAAGGAACCAUGAGGUGACUUUCCUCUUUGUAUGAUUAGAGCAACAGAAUUUAGGAGCAGCAUCUGAACUAUCUGGGAGAACUCGACUUCUGUCUAUCAGUUUUCACCAUCUGCCUUUGGGUCAUUUUGCUUUGUUAGCUACAUAUAAAUCUUUGUUAUAAAGGUAGGAGGAUUCAGUUCACACCAAAGGCAAAUUUACCAAUUUUGCAUAAUACUACUAGUUUCCUCUGUGGUGCAAAGCUACCGUGGGCCCUCAGACUCUGUUCUGUUGGGAUAUACCAUUCUUCCUGUGAAAGCCACCACCACAGUUUGGCUAGCAACUUGGUUUUCGUCAUGAUAAUUUAAAAAUGACACAGGAGUAUUGCUAAAUCCUUACUGCAAAAUUCUACACACGCCUUGAAGUGAAGACAAUUCAAAGCCCAGCUUAAUCAUAAGCCAUACAAAUGAAUGCAUGCUUACUCCCUCAGUAUGCAUAAUGAACUUCCGUGCUGCAGAAUUUGCAAAAUAAUCCGUAUUUCCGUAUUGCAGAAUUUGCCAUUUUUCUGGUGAACAGGAAGGUGUACAACCUCAUAAGUAAAAUGUACAAGGGGCUCACUGAAGAAGAAGAAGAAGAGGAGGAGGAGGAGGAGGAGGAGGAGGAGGAGGAGGAGGAGUUUGGAUUUGAUAUCCCGCUUUAUCACUAACCUAAGGAGUCUCAAAGUGGCUAACAACCUCCUUUCCCUUCCUCCCCCAAACACUCUGUGAGGUGAGUGAGGCUGAGAGACUUCAGAGAAGUGUGACUGGCCCAAGGUAACCCAGCAGCUGCAUGUGGAGGAGGGGGAAUCAAACCCGGUUCACCAGAUUACGAGUCCACCGCUCUUAACCACUACACCACGCUGGCUCACUUAAGUAUAGUACAUGCAAGACUCAAUCCUAUUGGUGUUUUGUGAGGGGUGUUUAUUAUUUUUAUUAAACUUCAUGAAACAUAUACUUACAGCAUAUAUGUUAAUUACAAAAAAACCAAACCCUUAUACUGACAAUGCUUCCCUUCCCCUCAUCCUCCCUCCAGCACAGCAAAGCACAAAGCAUAUCUAAGGCAUAUCUAAGACGCAUGACUUCCCUCAAAGAAUCUUGGGAACUGUAGUUUGCUGAAAAUUGUAGCUACUAUAGUUCCCAUGAACCUUUGGGGGAAGUGGUAUGUUUUAAAUUAGUGUUGCCUGUGCAGUGGAUGUGGAUCAGCCCUGCGUGAGGUUGGGAGGAGCUGUCCAGCAGCUGAAGAACAGAAGAGAUGAAGGAGGCCAUUCUAAGGCCCAGCAAACUGUAGAGUUGGGUUAGUUGAGUGAUGGUAGACAACUAGGCCCAGGGCUUCCUUGGUAUUGCCUGCAGAGGAGCCAUCAUCAGAAAGAAGAGCACAGUAAAUACCACAAUGCCUUUGGCCAAGUCUGUGUGUUGGCUUUCCUAUUCACAUGCAAAACUUCUGCAACGGAAAGUAUUUAAUUUAUGUAGUCACCUCUUUCUGAAAGAGCAACCAGGGAAGACCAGCUCUUUCCCGCCUAGGGUCAGAUGGGGAGACUUCUGGGGACUUCCGGGGUGGCGCCAUCGGUAAUGGCUGCUUCCCUCUGAUUCGGACGGAACGGCUCUACGGAAAUUGGGUCUGUACCACUACGGCGUAGCGGAGACCCUCCAAAAAUCACAGGCGGGUGAAGCCUGUGACCGUGGGACUCAGCGGGCACCGUUUGCGCCCCCCCAAUUGCAAAAGGAGCUCGGCAACGGGCUCCGGAGCGGAGCGGGGGUGGCGUGGUGCUGUGAGCCAAUUGCUUCUUCCGUGGAGCGAAGCCGCGAAGCUGUUACCGGAGAGCGCUGCCUUUUUCCUGGGACAAUUGGACAUUGAAAACAACUACCCGUGAGUAGGAUUAAAUUGGAUUCAAAAGGGAAAACGUCUAAUUUGGUACUGAACGGGAAGGUACAACCAGGAAGUCUGCCUUCCUUUCAUUGUAAAUAGAUCAAAGCAAAGAGACUCUAAAGCGGAAACAUUGAAAGUUGCUUGAAAAAGAGCUAAAUCUUAACAUUGGGAAAGUGGUCCCCCCUCCGGAUUGCAGAAGAGGAGGGGGAAAUGACUGAGCUGAAUUUACCUGCAAAAAAUAAGAGGGAAAAGGAAGCUAAAAUUUAUUGUUUAAAACCUGGAACGGGCUGCCUUGAGACAAGGGUCGCACAGUGGAAAGUUUAUUUUUGACAGCUAACUCUGCAAAAGGGAUACAGUGUAUCUGGACUUCUCCUGGCUUGAAAGUAACUGUUUAAGUGCACUGAGACUGCUGUUUUUAAAGUAAAUUGGGGGACUUAUAAAGACUAUUUUUGUUCUCAAAAGUUGUAAGUUCUGGCUGUUACUGUGUCCCCCUAGAGGAAGCUGGACACUGUUACAAUAACAACUGGCUUAGAGGAAAAUUCCAUUCUACUCCAAAACAAUUGUCUAACUGUGGGAGCGACCUUGAAUUUCUAUGAGAUGUUAUGGCAGAUGGGAAAGGGAAGAUAGAGUCGCAGGAAAAAAACUACUAGGUCUGGCAGACAUUAUCGGAUAGACACUGCGCAGCCGCGAAGGGGUUCAACAUCUGGAGUAACUGGAACAUCAGGGGCCGUACUCCCACAGGUUAAACCAAAAGUUAUGUCGUCGGAAGAAGUUUUGGCACAGGCACUGGCAAAAAUUAAUGAAUCUUUGGAAAGUUUAAAUAAACAGGUAGCUGAGACAAACAGACAAGUAGCUGAGACAAAUAAACAAGUCGUGGAAGCAUCAAGCAAAAUUGAUUUAAAUACUGCAAGUAUUAAUAUCUUGGGGCAGAAGGUGAAUACCAACACAGAGACCAUCGAAAAAUUACUACAGGAAUCUGCCUCGACUCGAAAGACAGCUGAGGAGGCAAAAGACAUUGCAACUGCUACUCAAGAGAAGAUUCCACCAGUAUAUAAGAAAUUGGAGGACCAUGAUGUGACAUUCUCCAUGAUUGAAUUGAAAGACAGACAAAGAAAUUUAAGAAUCAGGGCCGUACCAGAACGGGAGGAAGAUAACCUGGCCGAUUUUCUUACACAGGAAUUCAUAAAUUUUUGGCAACCGGAUUUGGGGAAGGAAGAAUUUAAGAUAGUGAAUGCAUUUAGACUUGGAAGAAGACAAAGCAAGAAAAAGGUGAGAGACUGUUUGAUUACUUUUCGAACAGUCCGGUGGGACUGGGUACGGAUGAGACCUGGGAAAGGGAUCGAAUGCAUGGGGUACUGGGUUGGGACCACAAUGUAUGCUCCAUCUUUACGCAACCGAAUCACCAUCUCUGUGGAUCCUCCCCGAACCAAGUACUUUCUCAGAUUGAGCUCUGUGACCGCUGCAGACAACGCUGUGUAUUACUGUGCGAGAUACACAGUAGGAGGAACUGAAGCAGAGGCUGGCACAAAAAGGGGGAAGUGGUUAGAAAAUAGAAAGCCACUUCAAGAACCUUGAGGUGAUAUGCAACUCUUUUGGAACAAGAUGGAGAUAGACUGAAACUGCAGAGUUUUGAGAAAUUAAAAACAAAGUGCGAGACUGGCUUCAUUAUUAUCAGAUAAUGGAGGCAUACAAUUUGGAUAAGAAAAUCGGCUUCCAGGUGGAAAAAUCAAAAUUAGAAACAGAACUGUUAGAACCCAAAACUAAGAUUUUGUCAAAGAUGUAUAACUUGCUGUUGAAAUGGAAUACUCAGGAUGAAACCGUGAAAUCUGCUAUGAUUAAAUGGGCACAAGAUGUUGGACAUAACAUAAUGAUGGCUGACUGGGAACAGUUAUGGACCACAGGUAUGAAGUUUACGGCAUGCAAUGCCUUAAGAGAGAAUAUUAUGAAAAUGAUAUACAGGUGGUACAUGACCCCAGUCAAGCUUGCAAAAAUCUAUCAUCUGCCCGAUAAUAAAUGUUGGAAAUGUAAAGAAACUGAAGGUACAUUCUUUCACCUUUGGUGGACGUGCCCAAGGAUUAAGGCUUUCUGGGAGAUGAUCUAUAAUGAAUUGAAAAAGGUAUUUAAUAUACCUUCUUGAAGAAACCAGAGGCCUUUCUCCUGGGCAUAGUCGGCCAAUUGGUGUCAAAGAAGGAUAGAACUUUUUUUAUGUAUGCCACAACAGCAGCAAGAACACUCAUUGCAAAGUAUUGGAAGACAUAAGAUCUACCCACUCUGGAAGAAUGGCAGAUGAAGGUGACUGACUAUAUGGAACUGGCGGAAAUGACUGGCAGAAUCCGAGACCAGGGAGAUGAGUCGGUGGAAGAAGAUUGGAAGAAAUUUAAAGACAGAAAUAUUGUAAAAUUAAUGAAUGUUAGAACGAUGUUGGAUAGAAACUAAGUGGUUUUUAGCUGCAAUACUAUAAGGGAAUAUGAAAAAUGGAUUACUAAUAGGUAAAGAUUUAAUGCUACAAUAUUUUAAGAUUAAAGAUUAGGAUAAACAAAAAGGGGAAGGAUUUGCUGAACCAACAAACUGAAUUGGAAUACAAAAAAGGGAGGCGUGAGGAGGUCCGGGAAACAAGCUAAUGAAAAAUAAGUAAUGGAAAGAUUGAGUUGUUUUUAAUUAUUUUUAUUUUGUAUUUUUCUUUUCUCUAUUUUUAUUUUGUAAUAUUUUGAAAAUCUUAAUAAAUAUCUUUUUUUUAAAAAGAGAACAGAAGAGAAGAAAACAGACAGAGCAUAUGCAAUGCUUCAAUAAACGUGAUCUUCCUCAUAAUGAAAAAAAAAAAAGAUAUGCAACUCAAUGGGGUUUGCUUCUCUGUAGGUACAGUUCCCACUCUGGAAAAAAUAUGGAGUGAAUGGGGAUGAUGAACCCACUUUAAGGCCUGAUGUUGAUAUAUAGCUGUCUCAAUCUAUCAAUGGAGUUUGCUCCUCAGAAGACCUGUCUAGAAUUGCACUAACAAGCUGCUCUUCAGAAUUCAGGGUGGGAUGUUUCUCUCAUUCUAGCAUCAGGCCUGUUAGUCCAUAAUAACAACAGCAGUGCAAUCAGAUGCUGGGACAACCAAAGGAGUUCGGUUGUUAUUACUGAUCAUCUGAGACUGGCCCUCAGCCAAAUCCCCCUUGUCCAAAAGGUGGCAGCAGAUUCACCCACCACCCCGUGUUCCUUCCUACAUAAAACCACAGCCUCUUAAAUCACCAGACUUGCAACCACCUGCAAAGUCCCACAAGAGUGUUUGAUACAAAGAGCCCCAAAGCUAAGAGGGCAGCUGGAUUUCAGAUCUUGCAUGUAACCUCUCUCACAGAAGAACUGAAGUUCUUUAUUGGGGGUGAGGGGGGAAGAGAUAAAUUGGUUCAUUUGACCUUUAUUUUUUUCACGGCUGAGCCAUCCUUUAUGCAUAACUACUCUCCACAGAUAGUUCUGAGGAUGAGUAAUCCCUCUUAGCUGAGCAAGAUAGCCUCAUCAUUCUUUUUGUAUGUGAUAUUGCCCAAUACACAUAUUUCCCUAGUUUAAUACAUUUCACAAAUAAAUGUAUUCUUAUGCACACUUUACCCUCUCCCCCUCCCCAUUCUAGGGAUCUGCAUUUUUGCCUCCUUCCAGAGGCCAUAGCAAAUCACAAGCAAAGAGCAUCAGCAAAAAGACCAGUUGUUUGGACUUUAUGUGGCAGGACCACCUGGUCUGUGCCUUCUCCUUCACCCUCUGGAGGGUGAUUCUAUCAUUUCUGUAUGGUUCCAUCCCACUCCUUGGGGUACAAUAUUCUAUUGAAAUGAGUUAUAUAUUUGAAUUUCUUCCUCCCAACACUCUUAUAGCAACAUGGGAAAGAACAGAUGCUAAAACCGUCUGACUCCAAAUGAUGCUCCUGCUUUAUGGCCUUUCAGAGAGCCUAUUUACCAAUGUGUGCAUUUCUCUGAGUGUUUUACAUUAUGCAAAUUUGCUCACUGCUCCUAAAUUCAAAUAGUUGCGUCCUGAGUCUUUCAUCUUCACUGCAGCUCAGAAGAAGAGCUGACUUAGUUCCAGUGAUUUUUUUUUAAAUGACCUGUUAUUAUUUUUUCACUUCUUAGGAUAAAAAUGGCAUUGCUCUAUGUCCCCCUUUUCCUCCUCAUGCUGCUCCCAGGUAGGUAUCUCCCCAAAUGCUCACUGUCCCUUACACCCAGGAUUAUAGUCCUGAAUCUUAAUUGUAUAAUGUUAACAUGAUCUGUGUACUUUGGAUUAAUGGAGCCAUGGUGUGGCUGCUUACGAAGUAGCUUUUCAAGCCUGGAGGGGGGACCCUGCCUAACUCUGGUUUUCCUUGCUUCUCCCAAUCCCUUCAGGUGUUUUCUCCCAGGUCACAUUGAAGGAAUCUGGACAAGGAACAGUGAGACCAGGAGAGACCCUUGAGCUGACAUGUACGGUCACUGGGCGCUCUGUGACAAGCAGCUAUUGGUGGAUCUGGGUACGACAGAGCCCUGGGAAAGGGCUCGAAUGGAUGGGAGGGUGGACUGCAAGAUCGUACUACGCUGCAUCAUUCCAAAACCGAAUCACCAUCUCUGUGGAUUCUUCCCAAACCAAGUACUUUCUGAGACUGAGCUCUGUGACAGCUGCAGACACAGCCAUGUAUUACUGUGCAACAGGCACAGUGGGACAGACUGAAGCAGAGGCCUGUACAAAAAGGAGGAAGUGUUUCCUUCUGAUACUUCUUGAGUAACACUUUGCUGAGAAAAACAGAUCCUGCUUCAUCCCAGACAAAAUAUGUACAUUCUCCCUUAACAUGGCCUUGAACAUCGCUGUCUGACAUCUGGCCUGAUGAUGGCCUAGCCAUGCAAACUGUUAGCCAUCACUGCCUCUUGAGGGAGUGAAUUCAGUGUUGCUAUCAAACGACGGAAUGGUGACUGCCCACACUUGUGACUCAAUACGGGGGUCUCCAAGAGGAGCAGGGGGGAAAGCAGAAGAUCUGCAAUGAAGACACAGCCUCCAACAUUUCUCAGAUGGAAACAUCUUAUUCUACGUCAGGAAACUUCUCCUUGACACUUGGUGACGUUAUCAUUCAAAAUGGACUUUGCAUGGCAGCUUCACCAUUUCCUUCAUUUGGUCCAGGGAUUUUAUUUUCCAUCUAAGCAGGACUCUUUUUUUGCACCUACAUAAACAUACCACAUUUAAUUGUUCUCCGAAACAUUUAGGGGAGGAAAAAAGGGAAAGCGGGACACUCUGGGAUGAAAUCAGAAACCAGGAUGGCACCUGUAAUUUCAGGACUGUCCCUGGAAAACUGGGACACUUGGAGGAUAUGAUGAGGUGCGACAGUCAGUCAUUCUCCUUUCAGGACUUGGGAGCCCUCUCCUGGGGAGAAAUAAAUUUCUAACUCGUACACUAACAUACAUACUAGAUGCAAGCCUCACAGCUCCAUGUUUUGGUUCUUUUUUAUUAUUAUUAUUAUUUUACAAACGUCCACACUUCUGCUUAUCUAAAGAAUCUCCCAAGUACAUACAGGCCAAUACCUUAUUUUUGGAUUGCCCUAUUUCUCCUUCAGGAUGACAGGGCUCACCGCCGCCUGAGUUUGCUACUAUAAAGGGAAAGGUACCCCUGCCUGUACGGGCCAGUCUUGACAGACUCUAGGGUUGUGCGCUCAUCUCACUCUAGAGGCUGGGAGCCAGCGCUGUCCACAGACACUUCCGGGUCACGUGGCCAGCAUGACAAAGCUGCUCCGGCGAACCGGCACCAGCGCAGCACAGAAUGAUAAAUAAAGACACUUCUCCCUUUUAUCAGAGCAAACUCAGUUUCAGGUAUCACCACUCCAAAGAAUCCUACAUCAUACAGGAGAUGUAGAACCAUAUUUUUUUUUUCCUUUACCCUCAGAGUCUACUCCUUUCAGAUAGCUUAAUAAAUUACUUUGAAUCUAAUGGCAUAUUAAUUUGCUGACAAUUCUGUCGACCAUUUUACAUCAAUAAGUGUCAAUCCGUAGUAGUUAAAGGGACUGUUUUACAGGAAGCAACUAUGAGAUCUGAGAAUUUCAGACUUUUGCUUAACUUCAAUGUGUGGUUUUCUAAAUGCCUACGUUGUUUUUAUGCUGCUUUAGUUCUAUCAGAGUUUGAUGACUUUUUAUGUAUUAUCUUUUAUAUAAGUUUUUAGCUUUUUGCAUUUUAUUUGCUUUGUUUUGUUCUGUGGAAGCUGCUUUGAGUUUUUAGCUCUUUGUAUUUUAUUUUAUUUUUUUUGUUUUGUUUUGUUUUGUUUAGUGGAAGCUGCUUUGAGUCCCAGUCUGGGGGAAUGGAAGGAUAUAAAUAUCACUACUAAUACUAAUACUUUAUGGUUUAUUCAUCUGGCAACCUUGUCAACUGCUCCUCCUUUUAGCUUCUGAUCCUUAAAUGCAGAACAGAAUUGGAUGGACUUCCCAUUAUGCAAAUAUGCCAAGCACACUCCUCCUUUUUAAAGAGUGCCAUUCAAUGAUGCUUGAUGACCUGACUGAGACUCAUACACCCUGUUUCUAAUAAACAAAGGACUGAGUGAUUAAGGGGGGGAAAUAUGAGAUCUUUGUCAAUUUUGCUCAUUCUCCUAAGCAUCUCACCUGGUGAGCAUUUAUGCUUAGUGUAAAAACAAAAAUCUUGAAUUCAACCCAAACUGAAGUCGCAUGAGAAGUCUAACAUCUGCCCUUUCUGUUUUGCAGGCAUCCUUUCCAGUCCACAGUUAAUCGAGUCUGGCCCAGGAGUGGUGAAGCCAGGAGAGUCCUUCAAACUGACCUGCACUAUCUCUGGUUUCCAAGUCAGUGAUUAUUACUGGGUCUGGAACCGACAGCCUCCAGGGAAAGGCCUGGAGUUUAUUGGUGGUAUUCGGAGCUCUGCAGCUGGAGGAACCACCUAUUAUAUAUUUUUUUUUAAAGAAUAUUUAUUCCAGUUUUAAAAUUACAGCAAAAGAUAAAAAACAGAACAAAUAGAUGAAAGGAAAAAAAAAGACAAAAACACAUCUAAGAAAAUAAAAUAAAACAUAUUACAGAAAACAGAAAAAUACAAUACCAUAAAAUGUAACAAAAAUCAAAUUUAGACCUUUAUAACCUUUUUCCCUUUUACUUAUUUCCGUGACUUCCUCUCACCUCCCCACUUUAUGUUCUAGUUUGGAUCGUAUUUCCAGCAAAUCCUUCUAACCUUCUUUUCCUUUACUUAUUUUAAGAUUUCUUAAUAAAUUUAAUCCUCCUCUAUCUUCAAUUUCUACACUUUGUUUUUACUUUGUCCAAUGUCCCAUUAUAUCUUUAUCUGCUAAAACGACCUAAAAUUCCUUCCAACCUCUUUCUAACAUUCUUUUAUAUUGCAAAAUUUUUGAAGAUAUAUUUUAAAUUUUUUCCAGUCUUCUUCCAUCGACCCUUCUUCCUGGUCUCGGAUUCUGCCGGUCAUCUCAGCCAGUUCCAUGUAGUCCAUCACUUUCAUCUGCCAUUCUUCUCGAGUAGGCAAUUCUUGCGUCUUCCAGUAUUUCCCAAUGAGUAUUCUUGCUGCUGCUGUCGCAUACAUAAAAAAAUUCCUAUCUUCCCUUCGCACCAAUUGGCCGACCAUGCCUAAGAGAAAGGCCUCUGGUUUCUUCAAGAAAGUAUAUUUCAAUACCUUUUUUAAUUCAUUAUAAAUCAUUUCCCAGAAGGCCUUAAUCUUUGGGCACGUCCACCAAAGGUGAAAAAAAGUACCUUCAUUUUCUUUACAUUUCCAACAUUUAUUAUCAGGCAGAUGAUAAAUUUUUGCUAGCUUGACUGGGGUUAAGUACCACCUGUAAAUCAUUUUCAUUAUAUUUUCUCUUAAGGCAUUACAAGCUGUAAAUUUCAUACCUGUGGUCCAUAACCUUUCCCAGUCAGCAAACAUAAUAUUAUACCCAACAUCUUGUGCCCAUUUAAUCAUAGCUGAUUUAACCAUUUCAUCCUGUGUAUUCCAUUUCAACAGCAGAUUAUACAUUCUUGACAAAUUCUUAGUUUUAGGUUCUAGCAAUUCCGUUUCCAGUUUAGAUUUUUCCACCUGGAAACCAUUCUUUUUAUCUAGAUUAAAAGCCUCCCUUAUUUGGAAAUAGUGAAGCCAGUCUCGAACUUUAGUUUUUAAUUUGUCAAAACUCUGCAAUUUUAUUUUGUCUCCAACUUGUUCUAAAAUUUCAUAAUACUUUGGCCAAUUUGUCUCCAUAUUAGUUUUUUUCAACGCCUUGGCCUCCAUUGGUGACAGCCACCUUGGUGUUUUAUUUUCCAGCAAAUCCUUAUAUCUCACCCAAACAUUAAACAGAGCUUUCCUGACAAUAUGAUUCUUGAAGGCCUUAUGCGCUUUAACCUUGUCAUACCAUAGAUAUGCAUGCCAUCCAAACACAUUGUCAAAACCUUCUAGAUCUAGAAUGUCCGCAUUCUCAAGAAGUAGCCAAUCUUUCAGCCAGCAAAAUGCCGCUGAUUCAUAAUAAAGUUUAAGAUCUGGCAGAGCAAAUCCCCCUCUUUCCUUCGCAUCUGUUAAUAUCUUAAAUUUUAUUCUAGGCUUUUUACCCUGCCAGAUAAAUUUAGAAAUGUCUCUUUGCCACCUCUUGAAGCAGUCCAUUUUAUCCACAAUUUGCAAUGUUUGAAACAAAAACAGCCUUCUAGGCAAUACAUUCAUCUUUAUCACAGCAAUUCGGCCCAACAAUGAUAACUUCAGUUUUGACCAUAUUUCUAAAUCCUUCUUUACUUCUGACCAACAUUUUUCAUAAUUGUCUUUAAACAAAUUCACAUUUUUAGCAGUCAUAUGUACCCCUAGAUAUUUCACUUUGUUAACCACUGUUAAUCCUGUCUCCUUCUGUAACCUCUCUUCCUCCAUCUCUGUAAGAUUUUUCUCUAGUACCUUAGUUUUCGUCUUAUUCAAUUUAAAACCUGCCACUUGACCAAACUCUUGAAUUAAUUGCAAUACUCUUUUUGUACUGGAUUCUGGCUCCUGUAAUGUCAAAACUAAAUCAUCAGCAAAAGCUUUCAGUUUAUACUGUUUUGCUCCGAGUUGUAUGCCUUUAACCAAUUGGUCUUUUCUAAUCAUGUUGAGCAAAACCUCCAGAACCGAUAUAAAAAGUAAAGGGGAGAUUGGGCAACCCUGUCUUGUUCCUUUCUCUAUCUUAAUUUCUUCUGUAACCACAUUAUUCACAAUGAGCUUAGCUCUUUGUUCCGAAUAAAUUGCACUUAUACCAUUUUCAAAGCUUUGGCCUACCCCCAUACCCUGCAAAUUUUUCUUCAUAAAGUUCCAAAAGAUAUUAUCAAAGGCUUUCUCUGCAUCUACAAAUAUUAAAACCGCUUUGGUAUUAAUAUUAACUUGCAAUUUUUCUAGAAUAUUAAUAAUAUUCCUCGUAUUGUCUGACAGAUGUCUCCCCGGGAGAAAGCCCGCCUGGUCUUUAUGGAUUACUUUCACCAGUACAUUUUUUAAUCUUUUAGCCAUAAUUUCCGCAAAAAUUUUGUAAUCCACAUUAAGUAAGGAUAUGGGACGGUAAUUCUUAAACUGUGUCUUUUCCACUUCAGAUUUUGGUAUAAGUGUAAUAUAUGCAUCUUUCCACGACUCGGGUGCUUUUCCUCCCCGUAGUAUUUCAUUGCAGACUUCUUUCAGCGGUUGUAAUAACCAUUCUUUCAAAGAUUUAUAGUAUUUUGCAGUUAGACCAUCCGGUCCUGGAGAUUUGCCCAGUUUCAUGUUCUGAAUGGCUCCUUCUACCUCUUGAUCAGAUAUUGUAGAAUUUAAUAUUGAUUUACUCUCUUGAGAUACUUUUUGUAAUCCAUUAAUUUUCAGAAACCGAUCAAUAUCAUAUUCUUUCUGGGUCUCCUGCGUAUAUAGUUGUUUAAAAUAGUUCUGAAAGCACUUCCGAAUCUCUCCAGGAUUCUGUAUAUUCUUCCCUUCUACUACCAAGUUCGUAAUUGUAUUCAGCUUUUGUCUCUUUUUCAUUUGCCACGCCAGUAAUUUCCCACAUUUAUUAGCCGAUUCGAAGGUUUUUUGUUUCAUCUGUUUGAUCUUCCAUUCUAUCUCCUGAUUCAUCAAUUUCAUAUAUUGUACUUGGUAUAACUUUAUCUCUUUCAAAAUCUCCUGUGAGUUCGGUUUCGCCCUUAAUCUUUUUUCUCCUUCCUUAAUUUUCUCCAGAAUUUUUUCUCUCUUGUCAUUUUGAUGUCUUUUCCUAAUUGCAUUCUGUUGUAUCAAAAAUCCUCUCAUCACCGCUUUGCUGGCAUCCCAAAUCACUCUCUUUUCAGUCAUGGUAUUCAUAUUUAUCUCAAAAUAGUCUCUCAAGUUUUUCUGGGCCUUUUGGAUAAUCUCCUCAUUUCUAAACAGGGAGUCAUUCAUCCUCCAUCUAAAAGCUUCAAUUGGCAUUAAUAUCAUUUCAAUCUUUACUGGAUUAUGGUCAGAGCAAAUUUUCGGGCAAAUCACCGCUUUUUUUAUCUUAGGGGCCAGUCCUCUAGUUAUCCAGAUUUGGUCUAUUCUUGUCCAAGUCAUUUUUGCUUCAGAAAAGAAGGUUCCUUCUCUUUCCAAGGGGUUCUUUAUUCUCCAGAUAUCCACAAGAUCCAUAUUGUCAGUCAUUUCAAAAAAAGUCUUUGGAAGUCUUCCAUCUUUCGUCACCGUUUGUCUUUGGGCUUUGUCCAUAUUUGUAGACACUACUCCAUUCAUAUCUCCCAUCAUAAUAAUGUUAUAAUCCAAAUAAUCCAAAAGGGUUUCAUGCAAUUUUUUGAAGAAUUCUGAUUUUCCCUCAUUUGGUGCAUAUACACCAACAAUCAAAAAUUUCUGUCCUUGGAACUGAAUUUCAAUUGCUAUAUAUCUUCCUUGAUCAUCUUUAAAUAUAAAUUUUGGUGACAGGCUUUCCUUUGCAUAAAAUACUACUCCUCUUUUUUUAACAUUGUCCGAUGAUAUAAAUUCUUCUCCCAAUCUUUUAUUUAUCAAAAUUUUCCGAUGCAGCCUUGUCACAUGGGUCUCUUGUAAACAAAUCAAGUCCAAAUGUUCUUUUUUCAAUGUAUGAAAUACUCUUCCCCUUUUAGCCGACGAGUUAAGACCUCUAAUGUUCCAACUUAAAGCUUGUAGUGUCAUUUUGUACUUACUCUCCUUCUCCUCCAACAGCCCCAAGAAGUUUGUCUAUAUCUGCCGGUGGCGUUGGUUUCACUUUUUUUUGCAGACUCUUCUCCAGUGCUUCAGUAUCUUUUCCCAGUCCUUUCUGUAGAUCUUCUUCAAAGGCACUCAAGAACUUAUUCUUCUCUUCCACAGAUUUUAUCUUAAUCUUUUUUCCCUUAAAACUGAAAGAUAGGCCUUGAGGAAAUUCCCACCUGAAAAGGAUCUUAUUUUUUCUCAACAAGGCCACCAAAUCUCCAAAAUCUUGUCUUAGGUCCAAAAGAUGUUUCGGUAUAUCUUUAAAAAUUUCUACCUUUGAUUGUAGAAUUGUCAAAGGUUUCUCAUAGUGCAGGCCCAAAAUUUUGUCCCUCUCUUCCUUAGAUCUGAAGGUAAUCAAACAGUCCCUUAUUUUAAUCUUUCUUCCUCCUUUUCCCAGUCUAAAGGCCCUCACAAUCUUGAACUCCUCUUGUUUCAAAUCCUUCCAAAAUUCCACAAAUUCUUGUGUCAGAAAGUCUGUCAAGGUGCCUUUCUCAAGUUCAGGAACAGCUCUAAUUCUUAGAUUGGCUUGUUUGUCUUCAAGAUCAAUCAUGGACAGCGUCAGCUUAUGUUCAGCAAUCUCUUUCUGUAGAUCUGGUACCUUCUCAGUUUCCAAUUGCCCCAAUUUAAAUUCCACAGCUGCAGUCUUUUCCUGUAUGGACUUUGAGUCCUGCAGUAAUCUCUGAAUAGAUUCUGUGUUGCUGUUUACCUUUUUCUCCAAGUUGCCUAGUGUUUCUGUAUUUAAAUCUAUUUUUUUAUUUGCAAUGUCGACUUUCUGAUUUGAUUCUUCCACUUUCUUAUUUAUAUCGUCCACCUUCGUACUAAGUUGUUGUAUAGAUUCAUUAAUCUUAGCCAAAGCGUUAGCUAAGAUUUCCUCAGACAUUCCACUAGACUUAGAUUGUGUUGCUGAUGCGGGCAAGCCAGCCGAUGAUUGCCUUCGAUGCCCCCACUGUUUCCCAGAUCUCAAAACUGACGGGUCUGAUUUCUGGCCAUCUGCCAUAACAAUAUGAAGGUCAAAUUCUUUUCCCAAGUGAGCUUUUCCUGUUUACCAGUGGAAAAUUCCUUUACUAUACUUUACUGCACUGUCAAAUAGUCCCACUAGGUGGACACUGUUACCACCAAAUCAGUUACUUUUCUUCUUGAGUGAUGAGAAAGAGAAACUAAAUAAACAGAAAGGGGUAAUCCACAAAGUAUCUUUUCCAGUUGUUUUCCCCAGCGAGAUUGGCCACAAUAUAUCCUUAUUUCAGCCGAUGUAUAACACUGUCAAAACACUGUCAAAAUUUGACAGCUAGGACUUCUCACUGUCAAAUUGCUCUUUAAGUCUUUAAGCAGUCCGAGAGAAAUAAAACAAAAACUUUCACCUUUCCCUCCGAAGGGUGGAUUCAAUCAAAGUUCUCAGGUCAGAAGAAACACUUUUAAACAUCGAAUUUCCCACGUUUAGCUCCAAAUCUCUAUGCUUUACUCUGUUCACAAAGCGGGGAAGCGGACUUCCUGUUUAGACUUCCCACCGCGGUAGCCAAUUUUAACGUUAUUUAUUUCAUACAGCCUUUCACUUUUAGAAGUUCCAGUCCAAUUAAAGCUCCUUCUUUUUAGUUCAAUUUCACUACUCACGAUUAAGUUUCAGUCCAAUUGUUCCAGGAAUAAGUCAGCGCUCUCCAGCAACGGCAACACGGCUUCGCUCCGUGAAAGCAGCAGUCCACUCACAGCACCGCGCUUCUCCUCCGCUCCGCUCCGAAGCCUAAAAAAAAAAGGCUUCCUCGCGAGUUGGGGGGGCGCUCCAAGGUGCCCGCUGAGUCUCCACGUUCGCAGGCUUCAGCGCCUGCGAUUUCUAAGGGUCCCCGCUUCGCCGUAGCGCACAGGACCCACUUUUCACGUCGCAAUCCCUCCGCAGUUCAGAGGAGAUCAGCCAUUGCUGCUGGCGCUGACCGGAAGUCUCGGAACCACCUAUUAUAACCCAGCAUUCAGUAGUCGGAUUUCUGUCACCAGGGACACCUCCAGAAAUGAAGUGUAUCUUCAGCUGAAUUCCCCGACAGCUGCAGACACCGCUGUGUAUUUUUGUGCACGAGACACAGUGAAGUAAAGCAAUGAAGCGUCCAUCCAUAAACCUAAACAAUAUAUCCCAUCACUGUGGCAGGCAAAGAGGGUUAAUGGAGGACACAAUCAUUGUCCCAUAGAGUCCCACAAAAGCCAUUGAAAACUUGCUUAUUCUCAGGUUUCAUUACUCAGGUAUGGUUCAAAUUCGCAUACAGGGAGAGAAGAGGAAAUGGCUAUUAUGAGAGAAGUGUUGCACUCAGCCUCAUUCUCCAAUCAGAAAUUGUGAGUCCUUCUACUGUCUGGGGUGGGAAGGCAGUUCUUUGACAAACACACAGGCUGACAAACUGCUUUGCAUCACUGGUACCAGUGAACGGUUGUGCAGAGUAAAGGGCUUCCAUAACGGGUUGCAGAGUGACCAUAAGGGAUGGAACCUCUAGUGUGUACUACUCAGAGAGAGGGAAUCAUUAAGGCAGAGUUGGGAGGGAAAUGGUGCUCUCCCAGCUGGGUACCAGCUCAAUCCAGUACCUCUGAACUUCCCAGAUCUGAUGGGCUAUCAAUUCUCUUAGUUAUUGGGACUGCUAUGUUUGGGUUCCAACAAAGGAUGCCAUACCUACGUUGUCUCUCUCUCUUCCCAAAUACAGAAACACAUUUACCUUUGAAUGCUUUGAAGUCUUGCCUUCUUGGUUUUUGGAGGCAAUUAUACCAGAGUCCCAUUAAGGCAGGGGUGGUGAACCUCAGACCCAGGAGCUAAAUGUGGCCCUCCAUGCCUCUCUAGGUGGCCCUCAGGACUCACCACAGCUACUCCGCUCACCAGUCUCUCUUCCGACCCUUCUUGAGUAGAAAAGGGAAAUACAAAAUUGAGCCUCCCAAGGCUCAUUUAGAAACCUGAUAGGCUUGUGCUUACUGUGAAAGUGGAAGAAAAAAUGUGAUUACUCUGAACAAUUGGAUCCUUUUAUUCAGCUCAAAGUAUUGUGCAUCCAGAUGUAGACCAGUAAGUGGCAGCAUUUCAUGGGAACAGAGAGCUAUAUCCUGCAGAUGGGGAUGAGGUAGAAGUGUGGUUCAGUUUGUAUUUUGAUUCAAAUCAACAUUAUUUGCACUUCUUGAAACAGGAUGCAAUCUGAGACACAGCAACCCUUUGAAAUUUGCAUUUCUCCCAAUUUUGCAAUGCAGUUCUCCAAUUUUUAAAAAAGGGCAUGGAACUCCAUAUAUCUGGAAAAAGUGUGUAUGAAAUGCAAAUGUUGGUAAAGAUGACAUACAGCAAUGAAUUGUGUCAGGGAGAUUUCACGCGAAACAUGCACAUGAUUUUUUGUAAACACACACAAACACACGUAUAUCAGACUGAUGCAGAAAUGAGGAAAAUGGAACUUGAGUUUGGAACAAAUGAGUAAUGGAGGUGACUGAAUCGAGCAGAUUUACCCUCCUGUUACUGAUGGCAAGGUCUGCUUUGAAAUUGUGAGGACUUUCUGCUUAUCCUCUUCAAACUAUCAUCACCAUUAAAGCCAUUUUUAAAUUAAAUUAAAUUAAAAACAGUUAAAACCAAUUACAAGCACAAUCGCAGGUAUAAGGUGGGCCCUGAAAACCCUCAUAUCUGGUGUCAAAGGCCAGAGAAAAUAGGUCCGCCUUCAACAUUUGCCAAAAGCUAAAUGGAGAAGAAGGCAGAAGCACCUCUAUUGGGAGGGAAUUCCAUAACUUAGGGGCUGCCAUAGAGACUGCAUUCUCCAGGGAAGUGAGGGACCCCUUUGCUGAUAGUCCUAUAUCCUGUUCUCACAAUGGCCAACAAUAUGCCUAUGGAAAGCCCACAAGCAGGAUUUGAGCACAAGAACAAACACACACGCACACCCGACUUCUGAUUUCCAGGAACUAGUGUUGAGAGGCAUACCACCUCUUCGACUGUGAGCACCUUGAUUUGGACUCAGAAGCAAACAGGCAGUCAGCUUCCCAAGCAUAUCUCUAUAUUAUACGCCUUCCCUGCAAAUCAACCAAGCAGUCUCCUCCAGAGGGGCAUUUCCAAAGAGGCAGCCCAAUAUUGUUGUAUUUGGGGCACCAUUCUGAAACCUUCUUGUUUGUACAGCUGUUUCAGAAACUGUCUUUCUAUUUCCAUCUGCUUCAUGUUAAGGAUGUUUUGCACAUUGUAUUAUUAAUUGGAUUUUGUAUUUUAAUGAUGGCCAAACGGCCCUGCAAUCAAUAAAAUAUUUUAACCCACUAACAAAUAUACAUUUUCCCACACCUUCAGAACAUCACACCCACAGCCCGAUAACUUUAAACCCCAGCUUUAAAAUUGUGUUGUUGCCAUCUAAGAAGCAAAGCCUCCUUUUAUCCUCCUUGUUUCAUACACUCUGCUCACUUUAAACAAAUCUGCCGGGCGGGUUCCUCCUCUUUAAAUACAGCCCUUCAGUCUUGCUCCACAGCCUUCCAUUCAUUCAGAAAGAGAGAGGACUGAGUGAGUGAGUGAGUGAGUGAGAAGAGAAAGAAAUGAGAUCUCUGAUGUUUCUUCUCCUUUUACUGAGUAUCUGCCCAGGUGAGGAUUUUAUACUGGAUCAAUUACACAUAGGACAAAAUUGGGUCCAAACACUUGGAGCCUAAGAUGAAUUGUCCUGGGACAAUUUGGCAUCUAAAAUAAUCACCCGUGAGUACUUAAACAUUGAAGAGCUGAAUUUUUAAUAAGGACUGGCGAUUAGUAACAAAUUGGACUUGAAAUUUAAUCUAAUUUGGAACUGGAACGGGAAGGUCUAAACAGGAAGUCAGCCUUCCGUUUUCUUGUAAUCAUAAGAAAGCAAAGACAAAGUACACUAGAGCCUAAAAAAAUAUUUUUAGAGGAUUGGUUUUCACCAUUUAAGAUUGUUGAAUCCCCCUUUGGUUGCAGGAGAAGAAGGGGGUUUUCUUUUGGACUGUUUAAACCUGCGGAAGUGAGCUUAAAAGUAAAGUAAUUUUCCACCGUCCUGACCCUGGAGCGGGGUGUCAGAACUGACGUUUUGAAGCUCAUUGACCAGAGACAAAGGUUUUUGACAGAUAGUUAAAAGAAGAGUAACAUUGUGAUUCCAUUGUUGCCUUUCGCAUUUUAAAGGGACAAAUUUUGACAAAAUAUCUUUUUUUGGGGGGGAAAGAAACUUUGUUGCUAUUGCUCUUAAAAGAAAGAAUAACCAGAAGUUUUCCCCCUAGUGGGACUUGGUGAAAUUGUAACAAGAGAGCUUGCAGCUGCCAGGAUUAUCAUUGUGGGAAAGGAUUCGUGACCUUGUAGGACAAUGUUUUCAGAAGCAUUGUCGGAUGCUUUUUUAAAAAUAAAUGCCCUAUUGGAUCAGUUAAGUCAAAAGACAGAUCUGAUGACAGAAGCGGCCAGAACACUUGAACAGGUAACUGGAAAUUAUAUGGAGUCCACUCAGGACUUUAAACAGAAGGGUGUUCUGACAGAACAGAUGAAAGAAGAAGAUGCUGCAGAGUUUUGGGUGCCAGAGAUGGAGGGACUUUUGGUCCAGCAGGAAAAUGAGCCUUUGGAGUUGACAAAUGAACUUGGGAAAAACCAGAUUUGGAAAGAUAAAGUUUGGGCAGCUUUGGAAAUGGGGGGCUGGAUUGACCCCCCUAUGCAUGGAUAUUUGGACUUUCCGAGUCUGGUAAUCGGCCGUCAGAGGUUUGGAGUUGUCGGGGCCUCCAAUUUUGGAGGGAACAUGAAGAAAAACCAUGUGGAGUCUAGCUUGGACUAUGGGAAAGGGGCUGUUUUGCUGAAAAGGGUCAAGAGUAUCAUCCAACUGGAGUACCCACGAGUGAAAGGAAAAUAUCAAGAAGAGCUGCGGAAGGGACAUGGAAGAGAUUUGAGGGCCUCGGACAUAAGACUACCAGGCUAAUGAGCCAGACUAAUGAGAUAAAAAGGACUGACAAUCCCGGGACCGGGGGGAGGGGACGCUGGAAGAUGAUUGGAUUGUUUUGACUUUUCCUUUUCUCUUUCUAAUAUUAGGAAUGUUUAGGAACGUUGAAAAAAUGUUGAAAUGAAACUAUAUGGCUUUUGUAAAAAAUGGUAAAAGAUAUGCAAAAAGGUAAUGGUUAUGAGAGGUUGGUAAAUGUAGGAUUUAAGUUUUAGGUUUUAAGGUUUUUAUAAGAUAAGAUGAAAAUUGAGUAAAGUAAUGUAAUGACAGAAUAUUACGAAACAAUGGAAGGGAUUUGGUGUAAAAAUUAUUAAUCAAGAUACAAGAGAUGGGAGGAGGAGGAGGUCAUGAAAAAAGGUAAUGAAAGUCGAGAUUUUGAAAAUGAUGAUUUUAUUUUUUUCCCCUUUGUUGUUGUCUUUUUGUCUUUUUGGAUUUUUGUAUUUUUUAUUUGUGUUCUUUCUGUUUUCUGUUUUUGUCUUUUUAUUGUGUAAAAAUUCUUUUCUCAAUAAAUAUUAUUGGGGGGGGGGGAAGAUGAACUAACUUCAGGACAAUUCAUGGUGACAUUGAAUUUCUUUCACCAACAAAAAAUAAGCCAUCCCUAGAGUAUUGGGGAUGGGAGGAUGGACAAUGGGUGAUAUAAUGCAAGGGAGUUUGGGGGGGGGGGAAUUGCCCAAUAUCUGGCAAGGAUCCAUCUUUCAGCAGACCGCAAUGCCCAGUCCAACGUUGAGCAAAAGGCUUCCCUUCCAAUGAUGCAUUUCAGAGAUCAAGAAGGGAGAAGAGAUUGGAGGACUUCCCUUCCCUAAACUUUAUUAACUGAUGUCUUAGGAUGCAAUCCUAUGAAGCCACCCCAGAGAGACUCCACGGAGUGGUACUAAUUUCUCUCGCUUUGUUCAGGUGUCUUCUGCAGUGUGCAUCUGACCCAGUCUGGCCUGGGAGCAGUGAAGCCUGGACAGCCCCUCCAGCUGACCUGCACUGUCUCCGGUGCUGAAGUGAGUGGCUGGUACUGGGGCUGGAACCGACAGACUCCAGGGAAAAGUCUGGAGUGGUUGGGCAGCAUUGAGAGUGUGGCCGCAGGAGGAAACGGAUACUACAGUUCCAGGUUUAGCUCCAGAAUCAGUAUCACCAGGGAUGCCUCCAAAAAUGAAUUCUAUCUUCUGUUGAGAUCCCUCACAGCUGCAGACAAUGCUGUGUAUUACUGUGCAAGGGACAGAGCAGCACUCUGAGGCAAGGCAAUGGAGGAUCCAGACACAAACUGUGCAGAGUCAUUCAGCCUCCUACGCAGAUUCAUUAUUUUAUGCUUGAUUGCUCACCGUAAAACAUUUCUGCUCCACUCUUCUUCAAAUGCAGAACAAAACAAUUUUGGGAAGGGCAGUAGCUCUGGUUUUCUGGUCUGUAACCUGAAGCAUAUGUAACAUGAGGUACCACUGUAUAUCUCUAGCUCAAACUAUAAGUUGAGUUUGCUCCUCAGAAGACCUGUCUAGAAUUGCACUAACAAGCUGCUCUUCAGAAUUCAGGGUGGGAUGUUUCUCUCAUUCUUGCAUCCAACCUGUUAGCCCAUAGCAACAACAGCAGUGCAAUCAGAUGCUGGGAUAACCAACAGAGUUCGGUUGUUAUUACUGAUCAUCUGAGACUGGUCCCUCAGCUAAACGCUUGUCCAAAGGUGACAGAGUCCCACCACCCAUGUUCCUCCUACAAGACCAUCAGUCUUUUAGAUCACCAGACUGAAGCCACCUGUAUAGUCCUUAAGAGCAGUUUGUUUGAAGCACAGAGCCCCAAAGCUAAUGUGGCAGCUGGAUUCUCAGGGUCUUGUCAUUUAGCCUCUCGACUCAGAGGUAAAGAGUUCUUAUUGGAGGUGUGGCACAGGUAACAGACGUCCCAUUUUCCGGGGACAAUCCCCCGGUUUACAAAUCAGCACCCUGACAAAAUCCAUCUAUUUAGUAGGAAAUUGAAGAGUAUUUCUGGAUUCAUUGAAAAAAAUCUGGUAACCGGAGUGGGCGGGGGAGAGAGAUAAAUUGGUUUAUCGGGCCUUUAUUUUUUGCAUGGCUGACCCAUCUUUUACACAUAACUAUUCUCCACUGAAUAUUCAGAGGAUGAGUUAUCCCUCUAGCUGUGCUCCAUGACAGCCACAUCUUUAUUUUUGUAUGUGAUAUUGCCCAAUACACACAUUUCCCUAGUUUAAUACAUUUCACAAAUAAAUGGGUUUUUUUAUGAGCACUUUACUCUCUCUCCCUCUACAUUCUAGGGAUCUGCAUAUUUGCCUCCUUCAAAGAGGCCACAGCAAAUCGCAAGCAAAAAGCAUCAGCAAAAGGUCCUCUCCCCAGUUACAAACCUUGGACAGCUGCUGCCAGCCAAUAUAAGUAAUACUAAGCUAGAUGGACUUACUAGGCAAUUUUCCUAGGACCCUAAAAGAACUAGGAGGCUUCCUAUAUUCAAAAAAGAACCUGCUUAAGUGAGGAAAGUACGGCAUGAAUGAAAGGUGGAAGAGCAAUUCAGUAAAAGGCAAUAUUUGGGGAGAUGCUCCACCCCCCAACCAUUGCUUGGAGUCAUUCCUGCAACUGAGUCUCCUUUUCUCCUCUUUGCUUCUUAAAUGCAGGACCAGACACAACAGAACGCCCUCUAGGCAAAUCACCCCACCACCCUCCUUCUGUUUAAAUAGCAUUGUCCAGUGUGGCUCCAUUGCCUGGCUGAGUCCCAUUCGCUCCUUACUAAAUUUAAAGUAGAGACAGAGAGAGAGAGAGAGAGAGAGAGAGAGAGAGAGAGGAAGGAAGGAAGGGAGGGAGGGAGGGAGGGAGGGGAGAUGAGUUUCAUUUUGCUUUUCCUCAUUGUCCUAAGCAUCUCCCCUGGUGAGGAUUUAUUCUUUGGAAUAAAAACAAAAAUGUUGAACCCAACGCUGAGAGAUUCCCGAUUAUGACACAAUUUCUGCAUUCUUUUAUAGGCAUCCGCUCCACUCCACAGAUAAUCGAGUCUGGUCCAGGACUGGUGAAACCUGGGGAGUCCUUCAAACUGACCUGCAGAGUUUCUGGGGUUCAGCUUGAUAAUUAUUUCUGGCACUGGAUCCGGCAGCCUCCAGGGAAAGGGCUGGAAUGGAUAGCAAUUAUUCACAACACUGCAAAUGGAGGAACCACUGAUAUCAAUUCAGCACUGAGAAGUCAAGCCAGCAUCUCCAAGGACAUCUCCAGAAAUGAAGUGUAUCUCCAGCUGAGCUCCCCAACAGCUGCAGACACAGCAGUGUAUUUUGCUGUGCAAGAAACACAGUGAACCAAAGCAAGGAAGCAUCCCUGCAAUAUCCACCCUCGGACUCAACCCCUUGCACAGGAACUGAUAGAUCCCUGUCGCCAACAGACAUCCAUUGAAUGAAUGCAGCUAAAUUUGUGCUGAAAAUCUGCACCCCCUUUGAGGGCAAAAUGGUGAGGGUAAUGUUCAGCCACAUACUUUCGGCAGCAGAAAUUCUGAGAAGUGUUGAGAGUACGCUGUGCUUGGAUUGGCUUACGUUGCUUUUUGUCUUUUAUGGAGUCAGCUCCCACUUUAAAUUUUAUUAAGUGAUUGCCUCUCACUUCUUAGGCACAAUUACAGUGUCACCUAUGCUUAUUAAACCACAUAAAAUAAAUUGCUUUUAUGACCUCUCAGACCAGCCCUCAGCUAUAUUCUCUCUGUCAAGCAGUUGGCAGCAGAGACAAUCCUUUCCAAAGCAAAUGACAAUCUCUCAAAUCGCCAGACUGACAACCACCUGCAAAGUCUCAUAAAAGAGGUUCUUGGAGGCAAGGAGCCUCAAAAAUACAAGUUCUCUGGCCUUACAUGUAAUGACUUCCACAUAAGGACUGCAGCUCUUUAUUGGAAGGGGUGCGAAAUGGAUCUGCACACUUGUCCCCUUCUAGAGGCCAACAUAGCCUAUAGCCCAUCACAAGCAAAGGGUAUCAAGAAACAGUUCCAUUGCUAAGGCUUGGUGGAUGUUUCAGCACAAUCUGGUCUGUGCUUUCCUCCAUUCCUCGAUGGGUGUCUUGUGUCAUUUUGCACUGUUCCAUCCUUUUCCACAUAGUACUAUAUUACAUACCCUUUCAAGUGUCCCAGGGCAUCACGGAAUAAUUGAAGCCAUCCCUACUUCUGAUGGUCCCAGAAUGUCACGUUUCCCUCCUCCAGCCCCACCGAGCUUAGGGAGAAGGGUGAGCCAGCACUUGUGCUUAUAGUGGUGUCAGACUCUCGUGCAAGCCAAGUAACUCGCACUGUAGCACCAUACCAAAAUACACACACCCCAAUUUUCAUCAGAGUAAUAUUGGAGGAUAUAUGAUAUGAUAUUUAUUUUGUAUGUUUACAUAGACAUCCACUCAAUGUGCUCAUCUCAACACAAGAAGUAGUGCUGACACCUAUUGGCUUCAAAUGGUCUCCGGCCUUUAUUAUGCGUGGCCUUUUUUACAUUAUGCAAAUUCUCUCACUGCCUCCCAAAUUCAAAUAACAGGCUUCUUGGUAAUUUAACUUCACUGCAGCUGAGGAGAAAGGCAGCCUCCAUUCCAGCAUUAUUGUUUUUCAUUCCUAUUAUUACUUUUCUCCUCUCAGGAUAAAAUAAAUUAAUAAUGAUGCUGCUCUUGGUCCCCCUCUUCCUCUUGGUCCUGCUCCCAGGUAAGUAUCUCCUAAAACAUUCUCCAACCCCUCCACAUUCAAAUGAACUAUCCUGAAUAUUAGAUAAGAUACUUAAUGGUAUAACAAUUCCCAUGACCCAUGUGUUUUGGAUUAAACGAGCAAUGAUAAAACUGUGCAAGAAAUAGCCUUAAAGUUCUGGCUGGGCCAACUGCUUAACUCUGGUUUUCCUUUUCUUUCCCUCCCCCCCCCCAAAUCCCUUCAGGUGUUUUCUCACAGGUCACAUUGAAGGAAUCUGGACAAGGAACAGUGAGACCAGGAGAGACCCUCGAACUGACCUGUACAGUCACUGGGCGCUCUGUGACAAACAGCUAUUGGUGGAACUGGGUACGACAGAGCUCUGGGAAAGGGCUUGAAUGGAUGGGAGCAUGGAGUGGGAGCACAUACUAUGCAGCAUCUCUCAGCGGCCGAAUCACCAUCUCUGUGGAUUCUUCCCGAACCAAGUACUUUCUGAGGCUGAGCUCUGUGACAGCUGAAGACACAGCCAUGUAUUACUGUUCAACAGGCACAGUGGGACAAAUUGAAGCAGAGGCUUGUACAAAAAGGAGGAAGUGGUUAGAAAAUAGAAAGCGAUGUACUAUAGAUCCUCGGUUCUGCUUAAAAGAAACCACAUCAUUUUGAAAUCACUGAAGCUGAGCCCCUUUCUCUCCACUCUCCACAUCCCAAGUUGACACAAACUGCGGCAAUGAAGGAGAAUUGCAUUAAGAAAAGAGAAGCAGGAUAAAGGGGGAGGUUCUCAUGCUGUAGAACUCCAUGCAUUCAACCACAAAAUCAGCCGCUAAGAUCAUGGAGACGCUAAGCUCCACGAUAGCCAUUGAUGAGUGCAUGAGACACAACUCAAGGCUUGGGGGGGGGCUUCCUUUUUAGACAGUGACAACAGCCUGCAGCACAAACUGCAAACCCCGUGAAAGUGGGGAAAAGAGUGAUUAAGCGAGACCAUUUUCAUUCAGUCCAGAAACCCAGUAAGCGUCGAUUGUUUGAUUCAGAAAUAUCUACUUGAUGGAGCAAAGGGCUGCGGCUGACUGGUAGAGCUUAGUGCACAGAAAGUCCCACAUUCAAUCCCUGGGAGAGAUUGCAGUUUGCAACCCUGGAGAGCUCCUGCCAGUCAGUGUAGACAACACUGAACUAGAUAGUGUUCUUACUAGGCAUACAGAGGUUUCCUAUGCUCCUAAAAGAAUGUCCGUAGGUAGGAUAAAUACAGUGCACCAUGAAUGAAAGCUGGAAGAGCAAUUAAGAUAGAAGACAAUAUUUGGGGGGGGGGGUCCUCUCCUUGGAGAGAAAUCUUGGAGAGCUGCCUGCCAGUCAGUGGAAGCGAUGGCAGAUGGACUUACUAGGCAAUUUUCUGAUCCUCCUAAAAGAACUCGUAGGUGGCUUCCUAUAUUCAUAAAAGAAUUUGCUUAAGUGAGGAACGUCUGCCAUGAAUGAAUGGCGGAAGAGCAAUUCGGUAAAAGGCAAAAUUUGGGGGAGCCCCUACCCACCCACCCAAUCCAUCGCUUGGAGACAUUCUUGCAACUGAGUCUCCUUUGCUCCUCUUUGCUUCUUAAAUGCAGGACCAGACACGACAGAACGCCUUCUAGGCAAAUCACCCCACCAGCCUCCUUCUGUUUAAAUAGGAUUGCCCAGUGUGACACCCUGGCCUGGCUGAGUCCCAUUCACUCCUUACUAAAUUUAAAGUUGAGAGAGAGAGAGAGAGAGAGAGAGAGAGAGAGAGAGAGAGAGAGAGAGAGAGAGGAAGGAAGGAAGGAAGGAAGGAAGGAAGGAAGGAAGGAAGGAAGGAAGGAGAUAUGAGUUUCAUGUUGCUUUUCCUCAUUGUCCUAAGCAUCUCCCCUGGUGAGGAUUUAUUCUUUGGAAUAAAACAAAAAUGUUGAACCCAAUGGAAAAAGAUUCCCGAUUAUGACACAAUUUCUGCAUUCUUUUGUAGGUAUCUGCUCCACUCCACAGAUAGUUGAGACUGGUCCAGGACUGGUGAAACCUGGGGAGUCCUUCAAACUGACCUGCAGAGAUUCUGGGGUUCAAGUCAGUGAUUAUUACUGGAACUGGAUCCGGCAGCCUCUAGGGAAAGGGCUGGAAUGGAUAGCAUUCAUUCGCAACACUGCAAAUGGAGGAACCACUGAGAUCAAUUCAGCACUGAGAAGUCGAGUCAGCAUCUCCAGGGACAUCUCCAGAAAUGAAGUGUAUCUCCAACUGAGCUCCCCAUCAGCUGCAGACACAGCAGUGUAUUUUGCUGUGUGAGGCGAGAGACACAGUGAACCAAAGAAGGAAGCAUCCCUGCAAGAUCCACCCUCAGACUCAACCCCUUGCACAGGAACUGAUAGAUCCCUGUCACCAACAGACAUCCACUGAAUCCAGCUAAAUUUGUGCUGAAUAUCUGCACCCCCUUUGAGGGCAAAAUGCUUCAACCACUUUCUUUGGACAGCAGAAAUUCUGAGAAGCGUUGAGGGUACGAUGUGCUUGGAUUGGCUUAGGUGUCUUUUUGACUUUUAUGGAGUCAGCUCCCACUUUAAAUGUUAUUAAAAGUGAUUGCCUCUCACAUCUUAGGCUCAAUUAUGAUGACAGUGUCACCCAUGCUUAAAUAACCAUAUGAAAUAAAUCACUUUUAUGACCUCUCAGACCAGCCCUCAGCUAUAUUCUCCUUGUCUAGCAGGUGGCAGCAGAGACAACCCUUUCCAAAGCAAACAACAAUCUCUCAAAUCACCAGACUGACAACCACCUGCAAAGUCUCACAAAAGAGGUUCUUGGAGGCAAGGAGACUCAAAGCUACGAGCUCCCUGGCCUUACAUGUAAUGACUUUCACAUAAGGACUGCAGCUCUUUAUUCGAAGGGGGGGUGAAUCUGCACACUUGUCCCCGGGACAAGCAGCUACUGGUGGCACUGGAUACGACAGACCCCCCGGGAAAGAGCUCGAAUGGAUGGGAGGGUGGACUGCAAGCUCAUACUAUGCUCCAUCGCCAUCUCUGUGGAUUCUUCACAAACCAAGUCAUUUCUGAGACUGAGCUCUGUGACAACUACAGACACAGCCAUGCAUUACUGUACAACAGUCAGACACAUUGGGACAGAGUGAAGCAUUGGCCUGUACAAAAAGGAGGGUUAGAAAACAGUGACAUGAAAGUGAUAUACUAUGGAUACCUGGUUCUGCUUAAAAGAAAAGCACCUCAGUUUAAACACACCUAUGCCAUAUUCUAUUCUCCCCACCCUCCCUCUCCCAGGUGUUUCCUCCCAUCCCGGGUUAGCAGUCGGGGACAGAGAAAGAGAACUGCCUAAGAAAAGCGGGGAAAACAUUAACGGUGAUAUUCAUGUCCAUAGACUUCAAUGCUUCAAGUCACAUUGAGUUAAGCCCCUUUGAUGGGUGUGGGAGACCCAGCUCUAAAUCCCAGCUCACAUCUGAAGGAGACCCAGUAUCUGUGGAGCAUUGGAGAACAGAAAAAUGACAGUAAAUGGUCUUCAGUUAAAAUCUGUAAGCGGAAUGUUCAUCCAUAGAGGGUUGAAUAAAUGGCUUGUGUCCUCAAUGCUGGGGAUUAUAUGUUUUGCCAAGUUAAAAAUUCAUUUCGAAACUUCUCAUUGAGUUGAAUGCUGCAUUAAACUGGCUCAGUACUGGAAAUUGGUGAACAUUAUUUCUAUUCUUAAACAGGUUGUGAUUAAAGGGAGAGUAUUGACUUUGAGUUACCCAUUAUCUUCCUUUUCAACCAACCGACUGAUUGUACCAAGUGAUUCUGAGUUGCACUGUCAUCCUUAUUUAUAUUCAACUGCGUUUUAAUCUCGAAGUCACAGAUACAUCCAAAAAAGUCACGCAGCUUUGUAACCGUGAACAAGACAAAGCACAGCAAAACCACCUUUAAAAUUUGGAUCAUGCCAAAGGUCCAUCUAGCAGCGGCGUAGCGUGGGUUGUCAGCACCCGGGGCAAGGCAAGUAAUUUGCUCCCCCUAACCCAGGGCAAGGCAAGUAAUUUGCGCCCCCUAACCCCUAACCUGCCGCCGCUGCCAGCUUCUUCUUGCUGCUGCCUGGGCUGGUCUGGUGUGGUUCUCUCCCGCGCUCAGCGCUGCGCUGGGCGGCCGCUGCACUGUUCCUCCCCCAGAUAGUCCCUCGCUCUCUCUCCGCACCGCACGCCUGGCACCCACCCCUCCACAGUGGGCGGCGACCCAGCGGCUCGGAUCGGAUUCGCACAGCCAGCACUGCAGUGAGAGAGAGUGAGUGAGCCAGGUAGGGGCAGAGAGCUGCGAGUGCGAGCGCGCCCCCCCAGAUGUUGCGCCCGGUGCGGCCGGCCCCCCCUGCACCCCCCACGCUACGCCACUGCCAUCUAGUUCAGCCUCUGACAGUGGCAAGCCAGAUGCCCUAAUGGGAAGCCUGAAAGAACAACCCAAGUGCAAGGUCACUCGCCCCGCCUUGAAAUCCGAUGUGAGCCAAACGAUUUGAGGAGAAGAAAAGCCUUUGAUGGUUUGUGGGGGGUUGAGCUUACUGCAGCUGCAGUGGAAAGGGCUGGCAUACUGCCAUUUUUAUUGUAAUUAUCAGUAUGUUUUAAACAGAUUUCAUAUACAGGCAAUCUCCCAUUUACAUGGGGGUUACGUUCCAAGGCAUCACAUGCAUCAGUGAAAUUGUGUAUCCUUGAAACACCAUUGAAAAAGCACCAUUGCAAACACCCCAUUCCACCCCCGUCCUGCCCCAUUCCGCCACUUUUUGUGGCAUUUUCAGGUCACUUCUGCGUUCAGCUUGAUGCACAUGUGCAUGGUAGCACACAUGUUGAAUGUGUGCAAGGGGGCGCAUGUUGCCUGUAUGUACAUAGUUUAAAUCAGGCAUCCCCAAACUCGGCCUGCCAGCUGUUUUGGGACUACAAUUCCCAUCAUCCCUGAUCACUGGUCCUGUUAGCUAGGGAUGAUGGGAGUUGUAGUCCCAAAACAGCUGGAGAGCCGAGUUUGGGGGUGCCUGGUUUAAAUUGUAUCAAUGUUCAAUUGUAUUUUAAGGUUUGAUUUCUUGAUGUAUUUAGUGGUUCUUGUUUGUAAGCUGCCUUGAGUAUAUAUCAUAAUAAUGAAAAUAAUAAUGACAACAACUGCUAUAGAGCCCUGCAGUGGGAAGAACCUCACUAUUCUUACCUUGUUGCAGCAGCCAUCCUGUCUGCCCACCCGCAAAUGUACUGGAAUGAUACUGCCUUAAGGGCACAGGAGGGUGAAUGGCAUCAAUAGGAGCUCUGUCACACAAGCCAGCAAUGAAAUACUGGGAUAGAAGGACAUUGGUCUUACAAGGUAUAAGGCUGCUUCCUAUGCUCCUAAAAAGAACAUCAUUAGGGGUGCAAGGUACUGUGAAUGAAAGCUGCAAUUAGGGUAGAAGGCAAAAACUGGGGAGUGUCUUCCCCAGCCCCACGACACCUUGACUGGAGUCAUUCCCAUAAGCAGGUCUCAUCUCAUCCGCUCUGCUUCUUAAGUGCAGGACCAGAUGCGACUGAACAUCCUCUAUGCAAAUCACCUGACCAGGCCCUUCGUGCUUAAAUAGCACCAUCCAGCAUUGCUCCGUGACCUGGCUGAGUCCCUUUUUGUUUUGUACAAAGAAAGAAAGAAAGAAAGAAAGAAAGAAAGAAAGAAAGAAAGAAAGAAAGAAAGAAAGAAAGAUGAGUUUCCCAUUGCUUUUUUUCAUCCUCCUGAGCUGCUCUCCUGGUGAGGAUUUAUCCUUUGUAUAAAACCAAAAUGUUGAGUAGAACACAAAGAGGUUCCCGAUUAUGACACAACUUCUACAUUCUUUUGUAGGUACGUAUUCCACUCUACAGAUAAUUGAGUCUGGUCCAGGACUGGUGAAGCCCGGAGACUCCUUCAAGCUGACCUGUGCAGUUUCUGGGGUUCAAGUUGGUGAUUAUUAUUGGAGUUGGAUCCGGCAGCCUCCAGGGAAGGGUCUGAAAUGGAUGGGGGAUAUUGAGGACACGGAAGAUGGUGCUGGAACUACAUACAGCCCAACAUUUGGAAGUCGAAUCAGCAUCACCAGGGACACCUCCAAAAAUGAAGUAUAUCUUCAGUUGAGGUCCCUGGAAACUGCAGACACAGCAGUAUACUACUGUGCGCGGCACAGUGAGCCAGAGCAAUCAAGCAUCUGUACAAAAACCACAAUCAGUCUCAACCACCUGC